UAGUAAACGUUGAAGAGGACGAGUAGCUUGUCUAAGCUAACCAAGAGAGAGAGCGAAUGGUGAGAAGCUCUCAUAGACAUUCAAGUGAACCUGCCUUCUGAGUUCUGUGUGAAAAUGACACAGCGGUUUCUUAACCGUUAUCAAAAAUAGAGUGUAAAGCUGUGCUUUAAAUUAGGGUGGUACCACCAGGAAUGGUCCCUAAU
rnacentral:ncRNA from 1 species